rnacentral:rRNA from 1 species
CAAAACUCAAAAACUUAGUCUCAGUUCGGAUUGUAGGCUGAAACUCGCCUACAUGAAGCUGGAGUUGCUAGUAACCGCGAAUCAGCAUGUCGCGGUGAAUACGUUCCCGGGCCUUGUACACACCGCCCGUCACACCAUGAGAGUUGGCAAUACCCAACGUACGUGAUCUAACCCGCAAGGGAGGAAGCGUCCUAAGGUAGGGUCAGCGAUUGGGGUGAAGUCGUAACAAGGUACC